GAUUGGCUGAGAGACGCCGGUGGCAGCCGCGAAAACAUAGACUCCCGGAGCCGGGGAGGGGCGGAUGGUGUGAAGGGGGGGUUCAGGCGGCGGGGGGACAUGGGAAACUGUUGCUGUGAUUCUCUCUCAGCACAUGGGGAACGAGGGGGGCGGGAGCAGUUCGAUCCCCCGCUGCAAUGAUCCAUUUAAAAGGAGUCUGGCCUCCUCCAGCCUGAGCCACGUUUCUGGUCUCGCUGAGAGGCGUGUUAAUCCGGAGUCACUGCAAGGCAGAACAGGGAGUGACUUCAAAUUAACAUGGGGGGGGCAGAUAAGAUCAGGGUGUGUCCCUGUAGGGGGUUUCAGUUGUUGCUAAAGGGGGGAAAGUUACUCACUUUCUCUCUUUCUCUGCCUCAGGAUAUUGGGGUUGAGCUUCCUGGUUCAGACGCUGCUGCCUCGAUUGUGAUCUGGGAGCCCAGGCUGAGCAGCUGCUGCUCCCCCAGCGGGAUCGGGGCUGGGGAGUGACCGUGAGUAAAGCUUCCUCUGUGCCCAGCCAAGGUGAUGGGAUGGUGAGAGAGACCGUGGAACAGAAUCGUCAGCAGGAAGAUGAGCAAGUGGAACCACAUGGGGCGUUGUUGCAAAGAUGCAAAAAGAGCGUGUCCAGGAGUUGUGAGCAGGGAAAAGUCUCUCAGGGGCAGCACAGGGCCAGAGAAGCGGCAGGGAAACCAGCCAGCGCAGAAAGUUGGAAUAUCUGUUAAUUAUCGGGGAACUCAUAAAGGCCUCAAGGAAACCACAGCCCAGCAGAGAAUCCUGACGGGAGAGAGAAAUAACACAGGCUUUGAGUGUGGGAAAAAGUUCAGGAGGCGCUCACACCUUAUUACCCAUCAGAGAAUCCACACCAGAGUGAGACCCUAUGGAUGCUGUAAGUGCGGGAAAACAUUCACUCAGCAUUCACACCUUAUUUGCCAUCAGAGGAUCCACACAGGGGAGAAACCCCAUGAAUGCUGUGAGUGUGGGAAAACCUUCUUUGGUACUCAGCCCUUAUAAAACAUCAGAGGAUCCACACAAGGGCAAAAGCCUGUGAAUGCUGUGAGUGCGGGAAAACGUUCACUGAGCUCUCACACCUUAUUCGCCAUGAGAGGAUCCAUACAGGGGAGAAACCCUAUGAGUGCUGUGAGUGCGGGAAAACCUUCAUUCAGCACUCACAUCUUAUUGCACAUCAGAGGAGUCACACAGGGGAGAAACCCUAUGAAUGCUGUGAGUGCGGGAAAACCUUCGCUUGGAGCUCAGGCCUUAUUACACAUCAGAGGAGCCGCACAGGAGAGAAACCCUAUACAUGCUGUGAGUGCGGGAAAACCUUCACUCAGAGCUCAAGCCUUAUCAUACAUCAGAGGAUCCACACAGGAGAGAAACCCCAUGAAUGCUGUGAGUGUGGGAAAUUCUUUCAUCACAACUCUUUUCUUAUUUAUCACCAGAGAAGCUGCAAGGGAGAUAAACACCAUGAAAAUCUUUUCUUGGGCUCAGAAAAGAUUGUUUUUUCCUAAUUCCCAAGUAGUGCACUUUAAGGCAGCAUUUGUGGUGUCUCAGCUCCUUCAGGUGAGUUCUCUGCUUUUCCCUUUUGCUGCUCACCUUUCCUUGGAGUGAAGCCCACAGUGUUUUUCAUCAACUCCUUCGUCCUCUGUCAUGGAAGUGUGCGUCCCUCCAACAGGAAUGCCCAUUGGUCCCAGGUGGGGGAACCAGGAGUGACCUCUACUAGGUACAUGGAGGUUAAAUCUAGCUGGGCCUUGACACCACUAGGGUUUUCCAUGGAGUUUGCGAUCCUGAUAUUAAAACACAGCUAUUUUUUCAAGAAAGAAAAUAGCCCAUACAGCGUCCAGGGUAACGUAGCAAAUUUCCUCACUGCUGGACACAAGCUUCGUGACUUUUUCUAGUCUAACCAAAUUUGGAGCAUCCCGUUUAUACUUUUUUCUCCCACUGCAAAGUGAUUGUUAGUCACCAGGUUCCCCCGCUAGGGACAGAUUGCCUCAUUCCCAGUUGUUGCCGACGUUGCACUGGGUUCUGCUGAAUUGCAGUUGGGCUUUGUACCAUUUUUCUCCAUGUAAAUGUAACAGAGAAGGAGCAGGGAUAGAGGGUGUGACAAAGUGGGGAUUUUUCCUUGUUAUGUUUUAUGUGAGUCUUACUGUUGAGCCUAUGUGAGUUUUACUGUUUUGCAUGAAUACGGCAUGUGCCUCAGUUUUCCUGUGUGCUGCACCAAUACCUCGGUGGUGGGAAUAGAGGUGCGUGACUUUGGCCGAGACCUCUGGGGCUGGUGAGGCUGCCUGCACGUACGCUAUGACCAGUGUGUGACGUUGCACUCCAUAUGCUUUAUGGAAAUAUGCUUAUGACAUAACUGGAAUAUGCUUCACGCUAAAUACCCCUUGUAUCGUGUCAUUAGAAAGCUUGUAAUCUACUGUGUUCAACCUAUUUGUUUGUAUGUAUUAUUUCUAUAUCUGGAGUUAGGAGAAUUAGCUAUAAAAUUGUUUCACUGAUGUAAACAUAUGAAGUAGAGGCCAUUAAGGGUGCUCCAGAAACAAUCAGUUGUAAAUGGCCUUAGUUUCUUGAAAGCCUUCUUGUGUAUGUGUGGGCCAGCCCAUGGAGAAUGGAGACUAGGGGUCUUACCGUGACAUGUGACCAUGUCACCUGAUAAUUAAAUCCAUCUUAAAUCUCGUACUUUUCCAUUUAGAAGGAGGGGUGGGGACCCAGAGAGACAAAAGAUUCCUGCCUUGUGUCAAAGCUAUAGAAGGGGGUGGAGCAGGAGAAAGGGGGCCAGUCAUGAGAAAUCUCCUGCUUACCACCUGAGAUGUCUGCUGGAACUAACACUACCUGGGGAAAGGAUUGGGCCCAGACUAGGAAGGAGUCUAAUCUGUGAAAGAAGCUUAUUGGAACAUCUCUGAGGUUUGCAGAGGAAUCGUCCAGAAGCCCUAGCCGGAGGAGAAGCUGGCAGAAGUGGACCUGAGCAUCCUUCUAAGGAGACGUGAAUAGUCCUCAUGUUUCUGCCUUCUGCAUAACUGCCUUCCCAAGGGAAAAGAAGUCAAGCGUUGGAGUCUGCUGCCCUCAUGCGACAGAAAGAGAGCGACGAGACCAUGAGCGUUGUUGAUGCCACAGAAAAGUCAUCCAACUGGGAGCGGAAGAGCCGCCACCCUCGGUGAGGAGCGGUGUGUCCUCUGCAGCAGAAGGUUCGAUCCAGGAGGAUGACUCCAGGGGAGGAAUUGCUGAGGAGCCCUAGCCAGAGGAGAAAGUGGCAGAGAUGGACCUGAGCAGCUUGGACAUUGUUCUCAGCAGACGUGAACAGUCCUCCGCUUUCUGCCUCCCGCUUAACUGGCUUACCAAGGGAAAAGAAGUCGCGUGCCAGAGUCUACUGCUUCAUGCGAUGGAAAGCGAGUGACAGUGACAAGACCGUGAGUAUUGUUGAUGCCACGCAAAAGCUGUCCAACUGGGAGCAGAACUGCUGCCACUCUGAGAUAAGUGUCUGUUUUGGUGAUUGCUCUGCCCGUGGCCCACCUGGCUCCAGGUAUGGACGCUCCUUUAGCUAAGGCUAGGUUUGUAAGGAAAGGUUCCUGACUAGCUGUUGUUAUGCGGGAGACAAGGUCCCCAUUUUCAGGGGCUGCUCAUUUCUCUGGCCAGGAGCAGUGUGUCCUCCGCAGCAGAAGGUUGCAUCUAGGAGGAUGACUUUGUGUGUUGAGUUGCUUGCCUUCCUCCCAUGUUUUUCUCUUUCUUUCUCUCUACUCUAGUGUGUUGGCCAACUCUCUGUCUUCUCUCCUCUCCUUGUGCUGUCUCCCUUCUUAGGACGCAGGCAGGGGUACUAGGUUUGCAUCCCGACAGGUGAGGACUCGGGAGCCCUGGAGAAGUUGGAGCAGAUGAAAAUCAUGCGUGGCAGUCGGUGUUGACUCGGUCAUCGAGUGGGGCCAGUGUAGAUGGGUUUGGAGAGGGAGGCAGGAAUGAGGGCAAGAUUUCAAGCACCGGUAGAGCUUUGUGUACUGAUGGCUUAUGCUUGGCUUUUGCAGCUGCUCUUGCAGAGGAAUUGUCCAGGAGCCCAGCCAGAGGAGAAAGUGGCAGAGGUGUAGCUGAGCAGCUUGGGCAUCCUUCUGAGGAGACAUGAACAGUCCUCUCCUUUCUGCCUCCCGCAUAACUGGCUGCGUGGGAAAGAAGUCAAAUGACAGAGUUUACUCCACUCGUACGAUGGAAAGCGAGCGAGAGCAGGGAGACUGUGAGCCUUGUUGAAAUGAGGCAGGAGCCAUACAUUUGGGAGUGGAGCAGCCGCCACUGUCAGUGAGAUAAGUGAUAUAUUUCAUGCGAGAUAGUCUUUUAAGGUAUCAUUGGAAAGGUUAUAAUUUACUGCAUGUGAUUAUCCAAUUUGGAUGCAUGUAUCAUUUCUGUAUCUAAAGUUGGAAAUAUUGACUGUGUAACAAUUACAACCGGGUAUAUACUUGGGAAACACCCACCAGACAACACACCAUCAGCCUUGAUGGGCCAUUAGGAAGAAACAAUAAGACUGUGAAGACACUAAUCUCUCUCCUUCCUGAGACGCGUCCUGGGAUGUAGCUGUGACGCUACUAGGUCAGGUGGUCCUGUCACCUGGUACUUAACGCUAUCUUGGACUUCUAGUAAUUUUCCACUAAAGGGAAGGGGUGGUCAAGACUGGGAAACAAAAGAUUCCCGCCUUAUG